GAGAACAGCAAUACCUGUUUCAUCGCCAUCACGAGAUUUGCGAUAACUCUACGGUUUUUGGCAACAGGAGAUUCAUUUAAAAGUUUUAUGUACCUGUUCCGAGUGUUAGAUUUCAACUUUUAUACAAGAGGUGUGUACAGCUAUUAUAGAAGGAUUAAAAUAAUACAUCAAGAUGCCGUCAGGAGUAACAGAAUGGAAACAAGUUGCAAAAGAUUUCGAGGGAAGAAGUUCAAUUUAUCAAUCGAUAUGAUACAUACGUAAUACAGAGAUAUGUACAUUUAUAAUGACUAAAAUAUUUUAUUAAAGAUACUUACGUUAGAA